ensembl:lncRNA
UGAUAUGCAUGUUUCUUUAUUUCUUAAAGAGAAAUGGUGUCUAGACAAAAAAAAAAUCAUUUAUAUAACACUAGCAAUAGAAAUGAAUGAAAAUGGGGUUCUCACAAUACCGUAUUUACAAUGGUUAUUAAGUCAUUUAAUUAAUUAGGGUCAUGUAGCAUUUAAAAUUAGGUAAGAACUCUUAGUAGAGAAUAAGCAAAUGACAGUAAUUUCAAAUUGACAAUAUUAACACAAAACAGUCAUUUAGAAAAAUGAGAGAAAAAACAACACCUACAAGCUUAAGAGCUAUUACAUUAAAAAUGAUGCACCUACUAAUACAAUAAUCCAUAUAAUCUGUGUAAAAAGCAUGUAGAAAAAACACCUGAUGCAGUUUGCUGAUACAGUCAUUGACCAGUUAUGAGAGGUGCACUUGUAUCCAUGUAAUGCUGACCCAUCCCAAUAGUUGGAUUAAAGACAAGGUGAGGAAACUCAUUCUGUCUCUUCCACAACACCAAGAAUCGGUUCAACUGAACCGAGCAAGUUUUACAUGGCAAAAAUUGAUCAAAUGUGACAUGACACCUAUUUGUAAACAUAUUCUAUAUUUAUACUCUACUCAGUGAUCUCAACCUGUGCACUCGACCAGGAAACCAGAAUUUUUUUCCUUUUUUUUUUUUUCAAGAAAGUUGAACAAUCUGUGAGAAAGGCAUGUUUUUGUUCGUAUUCUUCAAUAGAACAACCUUUGGAGUUAAAAAGCCAGUGUUUGUUUCAGAGAAGCAAUGACAACAAACCCCCAAAACAAAACAAAUCCAAAAUUAAAAAACAACCAAAAAGAGCUACAACAACAGCAAAAUUGUGCACAUAAUUAAAAACUGAUGUAAUGGCAAUAAACACAUUGUUUGACUGUAAAAAAUAUACAGGAAAAGUUCAUUUAGCAAAAUAUCAAAUUCAUAAUUCAUUUUACUUGUGUUCAAUCACUUUAAAGCUGCACUAAUUCAUAUUUUUUGUGAACAUGCAGAGAAUGAUCGACUGUGCAUCUGCCUUUGUUCUGCAUAGUUUAAUUCAUUGUGUGCUAUUAGCCACAGAGGGCUGAAAUAGACCGUUGGCCACUAGCUGGACAAUGGAGCAUCAAAGAGAGUGGCUAUGUGUGUGUGUAAGUGUGUGUGAGUUUUUAAAUUGUGGAGGUGGCGGGGCAGAGUGGUGUGGGUUUCAAUUAGCACUGAAGGUUAAAUGAUAUCAAAACCGCUUGAAGGAAAUUUUGGUUUGAUGCACAAACAAAGCAGGUAAAAACAAACAAAGAAAAAAAAAAUAGUCUGCUUCAGUACAAUGCAGAGAGCAGGUGUAAAUGCUUGGCACCCUGAGAUAUUAAAGGGAUGGUUCACCCAAAUAACAAUAAAACAUUUCCCAAUUCUACAGAUAGCUUUGGUUUGACAUGUCAGUGUUUGAGAGUUUAUCAUCGCAUUAUUAUCAUGCAAUGAAUGACUGAAAUUUUGUUUCCAUUAUAGUUGAGUGCAGGGAAAAGCACAUGCACUAAAAUCUGGACAAAAUUAAACCAAAACCAUCUGUGUGGGUUGAUACCAGUAGAGGCAAGACAGCAUUUUUUUUUGUUGUUGUGGCAUUUUAAACAGCAGUGUUAGCGAUAGCAAUGGUACAAACUGUGCUGCGUUGAUGUUAAAUAAAGAUGUUUAAAUUAUCUCACCAUUUUUGCUGAGGAUGCCCAUAAUUUGGACCAUGCACGGGGAGUGUUGUGUCAUCGUUCAUUUUCCCUCUAUGGGAAUGUCAAGUUAAAUUAAUAACACAGAGAAAUUCUGUGAUAAUAUUGGAAUUAAUCGUCUCCCAUGAGACAGCUGUUUGAAUUCAUUGUGUGCAAACAGCAAUAUAAAGAGGUUUCCUCAGUUUCUAAACAAAUCAAAAGAAUUAGAAAAAGAGUUGCAUAAUGUUUGUAGAAAAUGUCAAAAUGUCGAUUAUUUCGCUUUAGUUCUCUUGUUUGAAUGUGACAGAAUGCUAACAUGGGAAAAUACUGCUCUGCUUUAGUAAAUAUGUGCACGCAAAUAAAAGAACAAAUUAGAAAUAAACUGUUCAACAAACAAGAAACAAGCUCAGUUGUAGAGGAGUCACUAUUGCUCCACACUCAUUCUGUGCCAAUACGUGUACGUGUAUGUGAUCAUAUGUGUGCAUGUGUGGGUCUUUGUACAAAACAGGGACGAUUGAACAAUUUUAAAACAGGUUUUUAAACUACAGUUACACUUUCUCUGUCUGGCUGUGAAACAGAAAUUAUCUUACAAACAAGGUCAUCAUUCAAACUACAUCUAGGAUUUACAUCAGUAAAGGUCAUGGGGAGAACUCCGAAAAAUGUCAUGCAAUCUUUAAAGCCCCAAUCCUCGAAACAUUUGGGUAGAAAACAAUAAAAAAACCCUCAAAAUCAGCAAAAAGGCUAGUAUGGCUAAUUGCUAUGCUUGGUAUAUUAACAUCCCCCAAAUGUCAUGCUAAAAUUCUGUUCACUAAAGUAAAUUAAAGUGACAUUAGAAAUGACUUUUGCGAUUAAAUGAAUAAAUGAAUGAAUUUCCUGUCACCUCUAAAAUUGAAAAAAGAAAAAGGUUAAGAAAAUGAAUAAAUCACUUUAGUUGUACAAAUUUAAAUGACAUGUUUUAGUCAAUUCAAUUAUUAAUAUUAUUUACUUUUCUUGAUGUCAAAUGAUAUAUUAUUACAGUUUACUCUUCCCCUUUCUGUGUUUUUAUUUUAUGUUGAUAACUGGAAUAUCUAUCCAUUCUCUCAACUGGUUAGCCCAUUCAUUGUUGCAGCAGGGCUGGAGCCCAUCUUAGCUGUCAGAGGGUGAGUGUGAUGUACACCCUGAAAAGGUCACCAGUCUUUAAGGGCUUUCACAGUUCAUGCCCACAUUUUAACUGAGGAGGAAUCUAGAAUACCUCAAGAAAACAUACGGAGCCACGGGGAGAACAAUUGAAACAAAUCAUUAGAAACAUGUCGAAGCCUUCCUGAUUUUCUAGUGUUUUACAUAUUUGUC